AUGGAAAUGAGGAAGAAGACUUGCUAGUGUAGCGUGAGGAAGGACGUAAUGGUCACCUAUUGAUUACGUAUAGGGGGCCAAAUCAGGAAGAGGAUAUUUAAAUGAACGGCUCUUGCUGCGUAAUGCGAUUGGUUGUAAUACCCGCCCUGUUGUUGGCAUUUUGUGGGCUCAACGUGCUGCAGGUCAGAGACUGGAGGUAACACGCUAACUAUUGGACUACUUCAAAACCGAAUAGAUAGGGAUUGGCCUGUAAUUCAUUUAGCGAUCGGACGCGUUGGCCGCUUAGUGGUGUCGGUGUACCAGUUGCAGUUCACUUAUGCAGGGGAAAAUCCUUGUAUCAUCGGCCAGGCAGGACGUGCCGGGAUUUCUAAACGAGCUGGGAUAUUGUGCACCAGGGUGAACCGUGUGUUUAGCGGUCCAGGCGGCUCUGUUGCUUUGGUUCAUUUUUUUUUUGUUUUAUUUAGUUUUUUUUGGCAGUUAUUUUGUUUGUUUUUUGUUGAUCUUCAAUUAAUUUUUAAUAAUUGUGAUUUUGAAUUUGUUAUUUGUUUAUAUUGUCUUCCCUUCUUUGUUUGGCUGAGCCCUAUUUGGGUUUGGUGCAUGUGUGUGUGACUAAGGGAGAUUUUUUUUCCCGUGUUGCAUUCAGUGAGUUCUUUUGUGUGUGUAUUUUUCUUUGGAAGUGUUAUGUAUGAGACAAUGGGAGUCUGUUUCUCCUGUUCUUGAAUACUGCUCCUCUGCAUUAAAUUUUUUGGGGAUUCCUGGUCAUUUUAGCCAGUAAUUCCCCUUCGUUUAUUUAGUUUUCUCCUUUUUUUUGUGGAUUAUUUGGAGUGGGUGUGUGGUAAUUGUAAUAACCUCUUGUGUGUUGUAUUUUCAUGCAGGAGCUGAGGGCCAUUCACAUGGGUGUCCUGGUGCUGUGGUAGUGGGUCUUUGUUCACCUGAGAGUGCUGUGUUUCACUUGUGUUGUGUGGUGGGGUGUAAGUAUGGAGUGAUUUGGUGCUUUUCCUUUAGGCCACUCUCAGCAGGGGUGUCCGAGGUGGAUGUCCUUCAGCCCUGCAUGGUUAUGUAUUUGUUUUUUUGUGUGUAUUUGAAUGGUGUGACUUAUUGAUACAUUCAACCUUUUUAUUGUGAGGUCAAUAACCUGUGCUGAACCAAGCAUUAAAUUCUCUGCUCUAUUAAAAGGGUUUUUUUUAUGGGCAAAUUUUGAAGUUUUAUUGAAUUAAUAAAAGUAAUUUUAUGGGGAA
ensembl:lncRNA